rnacentral:tRNA from 1 species
GGUCCCGUAGCUCAGCUGGAUAGAGCACCGGCCUUCUAAGCCGAUGGUCACAGGUUCGAAUCCUGUCGGGACCGCCA